rnacentral:misc_RNA from 1 species
GAAAUGCGAUAAGUAAUGUGAAUUGCAGAAUUCAGUGAAUCAUCGAAUCUUUGAACGCACAUUGCGCCCGCCAGUAUUCUGGCGGGCAUGCCUGUCCGAGCGUCAUUUCAACCAUCAAGCCCCCGGGCUUGUGUUGGGGACCUGUAGCUGCCCGCAGGCCCUGAAAACCAGUGGCGGGCUCGCUGUCACACCGAGCGUAGUAGCAAUCACCUCGCUCAGGGCGUGCUGCGGGUUCCGGCCGUUAAACAGCCUUACAAAACCCAAGGUUGACCUCGGAUCAGGUAGGAAGACCCGCUGAACUUAAGC